UAUUGCUUGUCAGUCAUUCACAUUUAUUAAAAAUAGUCACUUUAUUAAAUAAUGUGAGAAACUCUAUAUUUUUUUGCGAAUAGACCUGAAGAUGAAUUAUGAAAGAGUGUGACAAGUAUCAGUAAUGCAGGAAGACGCAGAGGUAGAGCAAGAAGAGUAGUGAAAAGAGAGAGCUCCUAAAUAAGGAGCAAAUUAUUGGCAUGGGAAAAAUUCCAAUACAAUUUCCUGGUCUAAACACUCCUGUGUUUAGAGGAAAAGAAUUAAUUCAACAGCAAAAAUUGCUUGUAAAUCUUGAAAGAAAGCAAAAACUUAUGGAAUUACCACAAAGUCAAACCAGACCAAUGCAAAUCAAAUUAUCGCCAUUGGAAUAUGGUUGGACGAGUGUUACAAUGGAUGGCAGAAGCAUUGAAUCAGAUCUUAUUGGAAAAGAUACAUUUGAAAGUUUUGAAACCUGGAUUUUGGAAAAAAAAUGAUAACUUGUAUGACCGGUAAUUUAGCACGUAAGACUAGAAUCAGUUCAUUUAUAGUAACUGGAAAUGGAAAUGGAUUAGCUAGAUUUGCGUUAUCAAAAGCCAAAGCAUCCCUAAAGACGGUUAAAAAUAGGGCUGGUCAAAGACUAAUGUAUAUUCCUACAUAUAAGGAAUACACUGAUAACAUCUGUAUAAUAAAAAAAGCACCAAAAAUCUAAUGAUGAAAAAAGGAUAAAUAUUAUAG